rnacentral:lncRNA from 10 species
AACCGGCGAGGCGGUGCGACAGGGAUGCGGGCACGCAGCUCGCGCCCCGGCAGCCGCAGACCAGCCCGGAGCGGGAAGGGGCGGUGCGCGGCCUCUGCAGAGGGUGGGCGGAGUUCCCGCGGUGGCCCCGCCCCUGGCUGGGGGCGCCCGAAGCAACCCGGCCUCGCUUGUGGGGAGCCCUACACCCGCGGCCAGGGAAAGAAGCACUGCCACCUACAAGCUGCAGAGAGCAUUGCUUCUUUCCUGCUUCCCAGAUGCCAUAUUGAAGGAAAGCCACUAAAGACCACCAGGAUUGCAUCAAAAGGAUUCCAGAGCCAACUCAAGAUGCUUCUACUGGACAAAGGCACAACAAAUUGAGCACCAAUGAGAAUAACAAGACAAAGAUUUGAAAUAUAGAAGUGUUCCAGAAAAUGAAUGAAGAAGGAAUGAUUGAGUUGGAAUAGCACCAUUUCAUAGCCCAUAAUGAACUAAUGGAUCUAAGCAGUGAUUGUCAAUGGCUGUUAACUAAAAGAGAUAACUAGGAACUGUGUGCCUCCUGAUGGAAGAAUACACCACCAUCUAUGAGGUAGUCUUGCCCCACCCCCUAGUUUAACCAGAAUCUGAUCAAGCCUCUAUAUCCAACUAUAUAUAAGUUUACAGGAAAUAUAUGGGACAGAGAAAAACAUUAAACCAAUAAUGUAGGGAUGCAAUCAGCAAAAUUCAGACUGUAGGAAACUAUAGGACAAACAAUCCAGGUUUUUUCAACAAAUUGCAAAAAAAAAAAAAGGAAGAAGAAGAAGAAGAGCUAGAAGAUAGAAGAGGAACCUUAAAACUUGAAAAACACAUUUUUUUAAAUAGGUAAAUACCCCAGCAGCAAUGAGCACAUCUAGCACUCAGAUCAUGGUUUCUAAAUACCGUCCUCCAAUACAAAGAACAAGGCUCCUUAGAGAAAUGUCUGAUUCUAGGACUAGGGCAGAGAAAACACAAGAUUAGCCUGGAUCAUUUUGUAAUGCCAAAAAAUAAGGAAGUCAUCAGGGAAGAAAAGGGGGUGAGGAAGGUGCACUAUGUCAGCAGAAUACAGGAGCCAACCAGAAACAAGCUGGAACAAUUUGAGCCACAAAAUAAAUUACAAUAGUAUUGGAUUAUAACCCAAGAAAUAAAAUAAAUAUGUAUCUAUAGUGAUAUCAAUAAAUGAUUGAAUAAAUAAGGUAAAUGAGAGAAAAGAGAAAAAUCUGCCUUACAGAAUUCUAAGUACUAUAUGUAGAUACUGCCCCCGCCCCCGUCCCCACCGGCCAGGAGGUGGAGUUUAAUUCCCUUCUCCUUGAGUAUGGGCUGGACUCAGAGACUCACCUUCAAAAAAGAGUAUGAAAACCAGCAAUUUUACAAUUUUACAAUGGCAAAGCUUGGCAGGCCCCACCUUCAUCAGGUGGUCCAGAUUAACAGCACCAGUGAUAAGUCCCAUGGACAGAAUGUACCCCUGAUAUGCAGCCAUGAGAAAGGUAUGUCAGGCGCAGUGGCUCACGCCUGUAAUCCCAACACUUGGGAGUCCUAGGCGGGUGGAUCACUUGAGAUCAACACCAGCCUGGCCAACAUGGCAAAACCCCAUCUCUACUAAAAAUACAAAAAAAUUAGUUGGCCAUGGUGGUGGGCGCCUUUAAUCCCAGCUACUCAGGAGGCUGAGAUAGGAGAAUCGCUUGAACCCAAGAGGCGGAGGUUGCAGGGAGUCAAGAUCGCGACACUGCACUCCAGCCUGGGCGACACAGUGAGACUGUCUCAAAACACACACACACACACACACACACACACACACACACACACACACAUCACCUCUGUGCCUUACCAAAAACCCAUAGCUGUUUUCUUUUUUUUGUUUGUUUGUUUUUUU